UACAGAGGUCUCAAGCGUUGUUCGGAUUCAUUGGGCGUAAAGGGUGCGUAGGCGGCGCGGUAAGUCGGGUGUGAAAUCUCGGAGCUUAACUCCGAAACUGCAUUCGAUACUGCCGUGCUUGAGGACUGGAGAGGAGACUGGAAUUUACGGUGUAGCGGUGAAAUUCGUAGAUAUCGGGAGGAACACCGGUGGGCGAAGGCGG
rnacentral:rRNA from 1 species